rnacentral:rRNA from 1 species
AUGAACGCUGGCGGCGUGCCUAAUACCUGCAAGUCGAGCGAACAGACGAGUAGCUUGCUCCUCUGACGUUAGCGGCGGACGGGUGAGUAACACGUGGAUAACCUACCUAUAAGACUGGGAUAACUUCGGGAAACCGGAGCUAAUACCGGAUAAUAUAUUGAACCGCAUGGUUCAAUAGUGAAAGACGGUUUUGCUGUCACUUAUAGAUGGAUCCGCGCCGCAUUAGCUAGUUGGUAAGGUAACGGCUUACCAAGGCAACGAUGCGUAGCCGACCUGAGAGGGUGAUCGGCCACACUGGAACUGAGACACGGUCCAGACUCCUACGGGAGGCAGCAGUAGGGAAUCUUCCGCAAUGGGCGAAAGCCUGACGGAGCAACGCCGCGUGAGUGAUGAAGGUCUUCGGAUCGUAAAACUCUGUUAUUAGGGAAGAACAAAUGUGUAAGUAACUAUGCACGUCUUGACGGUACCUAAUCAGAAAGCCACGGCUAACUACGUG